UACGGAGGGUGCAAGCGUUGUUCGGAAUCAUUGGGCGUAAAGCGCGUGUAGGCGGCUUGGUAAGUCGGGUGUGAAAUCCCGGGGCCCAACCCCGGAACUGCACUCGAAACUGCCUCGCUAGAGUCUCGGAGAGGAAGGCGGAAUUCCCGGUGUAGAGGUGAAAUUCGUAGAUAUCGGGAGGAACACCAGCGGCGAAGGCGGCCUUGUGGACGGUGACUGACGCUGAGUCGCGAAAGCGUGGGGAGCAAACAGG
rnacentral:rRNA from 1 species